CAUUUUUGAAAAAAAAAACUGUUUUUGAGAUGAUAUUGGCCGUCCAUUGCAGUUAUUUUUCGGUGGUUAUCUUCUUAUUUUAUGGCCCGCUAUCUCCAAACCAGUUCCCGGCGGUUAUUUGAUGGUUUUUUUGCCAUCCCCACUCUCACGUGAUUCCAGGGCAUUGGUUUCUCCUCCCCAUAAAACUCCCUCUAUGUUCAAUCACAAUUCUAAGUCCAGAGAAACCCUCGAUUCCUUCAACCACCGACCGUGCCCUCUACAUCUGUUUGAGCCUAGCCCCACCGCCAUAGCGCCACCGUCUGCCCCACCAAACCAGGUAAUGGCGAACAUAGCCGCUGUUCAAAAAAAAGGUAAUGGCAAACAUGGUGAUGUGUCAUCUUUGUCUUUAUCACCUCCCAUUUUCAAUUUCUGUUUUGCAGAGUCACUACUACCAGUGCUGCUCACCUUAAUUUGUUUGCUUUUGAUCAUCUGAAGGCUCUAAUCGUUUAUGGUUUAAGCGUUUUGAUUUAAAGAUGGUUAAUGUGAUGGAUCAUUUGAGUAACUCAUGAAUCAAAUGGGUUUAAGCAAUUCGAAAAGGUGAAUCUUCUGGUCUUGGAAUCGUAGGUUGAAAUCCAUUUGCCAAAAUCAGAUUUGAUUAUUUGAAGCAUAUCCAAUGUAAUUGAAAAUGAGUAUUGAUAUAUAACAAAUUUCUGAUACAGAUUAAUGCACUUAUGUUAUUUAUGUUUAAUUAUAAUAUAAUUUGUUUUUAUUGAUUGUUUUGCUGGAGCAAAGUUGACCUAACUUAUUUCAUGUGCUUUCGACUCAAUUAUAAUCGGUGAGAACUGCCUUGAAUUGAAAUCCCCUGCUUAUACACUUGUGUUUCUUCUUAGUGGUCGGUUGCCAUGGCAAGGGAUUCAGGGAUACAGAUAAAGUAUUUCAAGGAAUAUAAAGAAUACAUAUCAUCAUACAAUGGAAAGAUAGUAUAAAGACUUCGCUCACAUCUUCCUAGUGGUUCGAGCAUAAUCAUAAAGAGGCUUCCAGCCUUCCCUGUUCAGAACUCAUGGGUAGAUGCAACUCUUUCAAGAGAGUGCAAACUUUUGGAACCUCUAUAAAGAAACAGUUUUUGACAGCUCACCAUGGCGGCCACCAACCCCCUGAUUACUAUGCAAGAGGCACUCACAUACAGAUUUGAUUGAGAUUUAUGCAGUUGGAAGAAUUAAUUGUUUUAGAGUUCAUUUUAUACGGAGAAAAGUAAGAAAAUUACUUCAAGUGAGCCAACAUGAAAUCUUGCAAGAAUCAACACGUGUGAUAGGGCAACAAAUGAAGAAGAGCUAUGGAGUGUUUGUGGAGAAUGUCUUUCUAGUGGAAGCGAGUGCGUCCCCUUAUUACAAUGAAAUCAAAUAGCUCUCAAAUAAAGUUCUUCUAUGGUGUGGUGUGCGGCGUUCGAAUCUUUUUAAGCCCUUGCACAAAGGAUUCUUGCCGGUUGUGUGCACACUCCAGGUUUAGUAUAUAUGGUAGACAUCAUCUUCAGUUAAAGUAACUAGCUUAUUCUGUGAUAUGUUAAUGUGUUAAUAAGAGUUGGGGAGAUUAUAGCUUCAAGAUAAGGUGUGAAUAAUAUGUGUUAAACUUAGCAAUCGGCUUUUAUGCUUUGCGAUUUGAAUUCAACUUCAUAAUUACUGGGAUGCUUAUGAGUAAAGUGAGUGAUGUUUUACAUUUUAUAUCCAGCAUUGUUUGUUGUUAAUAUCCUAUGAACUCCAUUGUUUUAAUAUGCUUCUAUGGUAUCCUAUCUAAAUACCAGGUUCUUAUGAUGAAGAAAUUGUGGCUUUUUUGCAAUGUGCUUUGUUACUGCCAUCACAGAUACUUUAAAUAGAACUUACGAACAUCUCAAUAAUCCGCUAAAAAACAAUGUGUCUGAUGGAUACAAUAUUGAGUUUUAGUGAUGGAUACAGUAGCUAAUUAUGCGUAUAUUGGUUUUUGCAGCCAUGUGAAUAUAUUAAAACUGUUUUUGUGCCAAAAAAGGGUCAUAUUCAUGUAGUUAUUAAAUGGCCGGCUGCCCAAGGAAUAGUCCAUGUGCUCUUGGUUGUAAUGGCUGGUUUUUACAAAGGAUGGUCUCAACAGGAAGGGGUUAUGUCCUCCUGAAGGUGAAAAAGACUGGUGUACUACCAUAUUUGAGAAUCAGUGGACCCG